UAUUGCUGAAGAAGGAAUGCAGAAUUUCUUCAUUCAAAUACAGAAGAUAAACUGUUUCCAACGCAGGACAGUGCUUCAUUAGAUGGCGAAGAAACAAGAUGGCAUCAAUGAAGGAAGCAUUGUUACACACAGGAAGAAAAGUUACUAUUAAAUUAAAAUAAAACGGUAGGAGGUGGAGAAGGAAAGAUAAGUCAUAGAAAAAGAAAAAAGAUUGGAAAAAGGAAAAGGAGAGGAAGAUUGGCGAAAUUAGGAGAGAAAGAAGCCCAACUGCAUCCAAGAGGCCUACCCAAGAGACCAGAGGCCCAUUGAAAUGAGGUCAAUAGGCUAGAGAUGAUGGCAAUGCUACUGUUCUCCUGAAGAAGGCAAAGUCAAAGAGCAAAAAGGGUUUCCCUUCAAGGAAUAAAAUUAUUUUCACUUAAGAAAAAAGUCAACCUACCUAAUUGGUUCCAUCAAUUCAAUUACAAAUAAUAAACAUGAUUGGAAAAUG